rnacentral:rRNA from 1 species
AGACGUCUACAUUAGAUACCCCUGUAGUCCCAGCCGUAAACUAUGCGCGUUAGGUGUAUCGGUGACCACGAGUCACCGAGGUGCCGAAGGGAAACCGUGAAACGUGCCGCCUGGGAAGUACGGUCGCAAGGCUGAAACUUAAAGGAAUUGGCGGGGAGCACCACAACGGGUGGAGCCUGCGGUUUAAUUGGACUCAACGCCGGGAAGCUCACCGGGUAGGACAGCAGAAUGAUUGCCGGGCUGAAGACCCUGCAUGACUAGCUG